AUGUCCGUGGAGCGCCUCAUCGCCCGUUCACUCCAACCCGCGCCGCCCACUCUGCCUCACCUCUCCAGCGGUCCGGCCGCAGAUGUCUCCUCCCUGAGCACAAAGUGGACGCACGUGGGGCGGCCACUGGUGAAGGAGACCGCGCGCGAGCCCGCGGCGCCCUCACCUCCUCGCCUCUCCGGCCACACCGGUCUCAUUCCUAAGCAUGAAUUGGGUGCAGGCAGGGCGGCCGCCGGCGUGCGAGUCCGCGGCGCGGUGGUGGAGCCCUCCGGCCCCUUCCGGUUCGAGGUCCGCAAAGGUCUCCUCCCUGGCGUUGUUGGCCUUAUCUGA
rnacentral:rRNA from 1 species